CAGCGCCACGAGUGGGAACUACAAUUAUUGGGCCUAAAGCGUCCGUAGCCGGUUUAAUAAAUUUCUUGUGAAAUUGUUAAGCUUAACUUAACAAAAUGCAGGAAAGACUGUUAGACUAGGGACUGGGAGAGGUUAGAAGUAUGUUUAGGGUAGCGGUAAAAUGUUAUAAUCCUAAAUAGACUACCAAUGGCGAAGGCAUCUAACCAGAACAGGUCCGACGGUGAGGGACGAAAGCCAGGGGAGCAAACCGGAUUAGAUACCCGAGUAGUCC
rnacentral:rRNA from 1 species